UACGGAGGGAGCUAGCGUUGUUCGGAAUUACUGGGCGUAAAGCGCGCGUAGGUGGCAGUUCAAGUCUGCUGUCAAAGACCGGGGCUCAACCUCGGAAAGGCAGUGGAAACUGAACAGCUAGAGUAUGGUAGGGGCAAAGGGAAUUCCUGGUGUAGCGGUGAAAUGCGUAGAGAUCAGGAAGAACAUCGGUGGCGAAGGCGCUUUGCUGGACCAUAACUGACACUCAGGGACGAAAGCUAGGGGAGCGAAUGGG
rnacentral:rRNA from 1 species